AUCUCACAUGGGAGGACACCUAUUUCAGAGAGGUCCCCAAAGCAAGAAGAAAAGCAGAUCUGUACUUUCACCGCCACGGACCACGACAGCGAUUCGAAAGGGAAAACACGGCCUUCCUCGCUUUUUGUCUUAUUCCGGUUAAGGGAGAGUGCUGAGACAGACAAGAGUCGGUGGCGCGCAGUGAAAGCAGAAACCUUUAAGAGGAGCACAGCCAAAUGGGGACGUGAGAGCGAAUGCUCAAUACGACUGUGAAAAGGAAAACCUCGGAAAGAAGAAGCGUCAGAUCGGUGCUUUGGCCGUGGGGUGGGGUGUAGACAGCAGAGUGGCGUGAUAGAAAUAGCCCAUGUGUCAAUGGGAGCCAUAGUAGCCAGCGAGGAGUUCUUAGGUUUGCAAGCCUUCCAUCGAUGUGUGCCCUUACACCAUGCUCGUCGGAGGCAUGCCAAUGAAUAUCUGCAAACGUGGUAAAGUGCAAAAGCAUGGGGGUAAAACCAGGAAUUGUUCAAAGAGAAAAAGUGGCCAAAGAAGAGACUCGAGGGGCUAACAAAUCCCUCACAAGUCUGUCUACCGGACCACAGCGGCAAACGGUUGAAACGUGUAGGACACUGCAGCAAGAGCCAAAGAGGCCUUCAAUACACGGAGCAUCCCUCAGACAACCCAGUGCGCUCAUCCGAGGGGCUCGGAUGACCAGCACUCUCACCCAUUUGGACCUUUGCACCAUUGCGUGUUUUCCUGCUAUGGGAAAAAUAAAGCCUGCACAGAGAAACAUCUGUGUGUGCGUGUGUGUGUUAGUGUGUGUGUGUCUUCAUUUCUUCGUUUUCAUCCUAGCCUGGACCGGACUGCAAAGACAGUUGUAUUUGGGGGGAAUUUUCCCCUGAGACUGCCUUUCUUCGAGGUGAACGCUUAAAAACCCCCCUGGACCCAAGCCCUUACCUCGGAUGAGCGCACUGGGUUGUCUGAGGGAUGCUCCGUGUAUUGAAGGCCUCUUUGGCUCUUGCUGCAGUGUCCUACACGUUUCAACCGUUUGCCGCUGUGGUCCGGUAGACAGACUUGUGAGGGAUUUGUUAGCCCCUCGAGUCUCUUCUUUGGCCACUUUUUCUCUUUGAACAAUUCCUGGUUUUACCCCCAUGCUUUUGCACUUUACCACGUUUGCAGAUAUUCAUUGGCAUGCCUCCGACGUGCAUGGUGUAAGGGCACACAUCGAUGGAAGGCUUGCAAACCUAAGAACUCCUCGCUGGCUACUAUGGCUCCCAUUGACACAUGGGCUAUUUCUAUCACGCCACUCUGCUGUCUACACCCCACCCCACGGCCAAAGCACCGAUCUGACGCUUCUUCUUUCCGAGGUUUUCCUUUUCACAGUCGUAUUGAGCAUUCGCUCUCACGUCCCCAUUUGGCUGUGCUCCUCUUAAAGGUUUCUGCUUUCACUGCGCGCCACCGACUCUUGUCUGUCUCAGCACUCUCCCUUAACCGGAAUAAGACAAAAAGCGAGGAAGGCCGUGUUUUCCCUUGGCGAAUCGCUGUCGUGGUCCGUGGC
rnacentral:lncRNA from 1 species